CAGGCCUAACACAUGCAAGUCGAACGAGGUAGCAAUACCUAGUGGCGGACGGGUGAGGAAUACGUAGGGAUCUGCCCUUAAGUGGGGGAUAACCCGGGGAAACCCGGAUUAAUACCGCAUGAUCUCGCAAGAGCAAAGAGGGGGACCGCAAGGCCUCUCGCUUUUGGAGGAACCUACGUCGGAUUAGCUAGUUGGUGAGGUAAUGGCUCACCAAGGCUACGAUCCGUAACUGGUCUGAGAGGAUGAUCAGUCACACCGGAACUGAGACACGGUCCGGACUCCUACGGGAGGCAGCAGUGGGGAAUAUUGGACAAUGGGCGAAAGCCUGAUCCAGCAAUACCGCGUGUGUGAAGAAGGCCUUCGGGUUGUAAAGCACUUUAAGUUGGGAAGAAAAAACUUUACUUAAUACGUGAAGUCUUGACGGUACCGACAGAAUAAGCACCGGCUAACUCUGUGCCAGCAGCCGCGGUAAUACAGAGGGUGCUAGCGUUAAUCGGAUUUACUGGGCGUAAAGCGUGCGUAGGCGGUUUGAUAAGUCGAUUGUGAAAGCCCUGGGCUCAACCUAGGAAUUGCGGUCGAUACUGUCAGACUAGAAAACGGUAGAGGGAGGUGGAACUCCAGGUGUAGCGGUGAAAUGCGUAGAUAUCUGGAAGAACACCGAUGGCGAAGGCAGCCUCCUGGGCCUGUUUUGACGCUGAGGCACGAAAGCGUGGGUAGCAAACAGGAUUAGAUACCCUGGUAGUCCACGCCGUAAACGAUGAGAACUUGACGUUGGUUUGCUUAGCAAAUCGGUGUCGUAGCUAACGCGAUAAGUUCUCCGCCUGGGGAGUACGGCCGCAAGGUUGAAACUCAAAUGAAUUGACGG
rnacentral:rRNA from 1 species